rnacentral:rRNA from 1 species
CACGUAUUUAGCCGGAGCUUCUUUUCAGGUACCGUCACUUUCUUCCCUGCUGAUAGAGCUUUACAUAACGAAUUACUUCUUCACUCACGCGGCGUCGCUGCAUCAGAGUUCCCUCCAUUGUGCAAUAUUCCCCACUGCUGCCUCCCGUAGGAGUCUGGGCCGUGUCUCAGUCCCAAUGUGGCCGUCCACCCUCUCAGGCCGGCUACUGAUCGUUGCCUUGGUGUGCUUUUACCACUCCAACUAGCUAAUCAGACGCGGGUCCAUCUCAUACCAGAUUUCUCCUUUUCACACAAAAACAUGCGUCCUCGUGCGCUUAUGCGGUUUUACCACCAGUUUCCCGAUGCUAUCCCCCUGUAUGAGGCAGGUUGCCCACGCGUUACUCACCCGUCCGCCACUAAGAUACUUCUCUUUCACCUCGAAAAGCUUCCAAGCAAUAUCUCCGUUCGACUUGCAUGUGUUAGGCACGCCGCCAGCGUUCAUCCUGAGCCAGGA